CCAUAUUAUAAAAACCAAGGGAGCCUAUACCACACUGAUAAGAAAAGGUAGCGAAAGAUCGUCCAAUACCAUCUUGAA